CUAAUACAUGCAAGUCGAGCGCGGGAAGCAGAAAGAUUCCUUCGGGAUGACAUCUGUGGAACGAGCGGCGGAUGGGUGAGUAACACGUGGGCAACCUGCCUGUAAGACUGGGAUAACUCCGGGAAACCGGGGCUAAUACCGGAUAAGACUUUAUCUCGCAUGAGAUAGAGAUGAAAGAUGGCUUUUAGCUAUCACUUACAGAUGGGCCUGCGGCGCAUUAGCUAGUUGGUGGGGUAACGGCUUACCAAGGCGACGAUGCGUAGCCGACCUGAGAGGGUGAUCGGCCACACUGGGACUGAGACACGGCCCAGACUCCUACGGGAGGCAGCAGUAGGGAAUCUUCCGCAAUGGGCGAAAGCCUGACGGAGCGACGCCGCGUGAGCGAUGAAGGUCUUCGGAUCGUAAAGCUCUGUUGUUAGGGAAGAACAAGUACCGGAGUAACUGCCGGUACCUUGACGGUACCUAACCAGAAAGCCCCGGCUAACUACGUGCCAGCAGCCGCGGUAAUACGUAGGGGGCGAGCGUUGUCCGGAAUUAUUGGGCGUAAAGGGCUCGCAGGCGGUCCCUUAAGUCUGAUGUGAAAUCUUGCGGCUUAACCGCAAGCGGUCAUUGGAAACUGGGGGACUUGAGUACAGAAGAGGAGAGUGGAAUUCCACGUGUAGCGGUGAAAUGCGUAGAGAUGUGGAGGAACACCAGUGGCGAAGGCGG
rnacentral:rRNA from 1 species